ACACAUGCAAGUCGAACGGGAAUCUUCGGAUUCUAGUGGCGGACGGGUGAGUAACGCGUAAGAAUCUAACUUCAGGACGGGGACAACAGUUGGAAACGACUGCUAAUACCCGAUGUGCCGCAAGGUGAAACCUAAUUGGCCUGAAGAAGAGCUUGCGUCUGAUUAGCUAGUUGGUGGGGUAAAGGCCUACCAAGGCGACGAUCAGUAGCUGGUCUGAGAGGAUGAGCAGCCACACUGGGACUGAGACACGGCCCAGACUCCUACGGGAGGCAGCAGUGGGGAAUUUUCCGCAAUGGGCGAAAGCCUGACGGAGCAACGCCGCGUGGGGGAGGAAGGUCUUUGGAUUGUAAACCUCUUUUCUCAAGGAAGAAGUUCUGACGGUACUUGAGGAAUCAGCCUCGGCUAACUCCGUGCCAGCAGCCGCGGUAAUACGGGGGAGGCAAGCGUUAUCCGGAAUUAUUGGGCGUAAAGCGUCCGCAGGUGGUCAGCCAAGUCUGCUGUCAAAUCAGGUUGCUUAACGACCUAAAGGCGGUGGAAACUGGCAGACUAGAGAGCAGUAGGGGUAGCAGGAAUUCCCAGUGUAGCGGUGAAAUGCGUAGAGAUUGGGAAGAACAUCGGUGGCGAAAGCGCGCUACUGGGCUGUAUCUGACACUCAGGGACGAAAGCUAGGGGAGCGAAAGGGAUUAGAUACCCCUGUAGUCCUAGCCGUAAACGAUGGAUACUAGGCGUGGCUUGUAUCGACCCGAGCCGUGCCG
rnacentral:rRNA from 1 species